rnacentral:rRNA from 1 species
GACGAACGCUGGCGGCGUGCUUAACACAUGCAAGUCGAACGAUGAAACCUAGCUUGCUAGGUCGAUUAGUGGCGAACGGGUGAGUAACACGUGACUAACCUGCCCCUUUCUCUGGGAUAACGCUCCGAAAGGAGUGCUAAUACCGGAUACUCACACCGAGGCACAUGCCUUGGUGUGGAAAGUUUUUCGGAAAGGGAUGGAGUCGCGGCCUAUCAGCUUGUUGGUGAGGUAACGGCUCACCAAGGCGACGACGGGUAGCCGGCCUGAGAGGGGGACCGGCCAAACUGGGACUGAGACACGGCCCAGACUCCUACGGGAGGCAGCAGUGGGGAAUAUUGCACAAUGGGCGCAAGCCUGAUGCAGCGACGCCGCGUGAGGGAUGAAGGUCUUCGGAUUGUAAACCUCUUUCAGUGGGGACGAAGCGAAAGUGACGGUACCUAAAGAAGAAGCACCGGCUAACUACGUGCCAGCAGCCGCCGUAA